AAGACUAUAGACCUGCGGAGUACCUGCGGAAGGAUCAUUAUCGUAUUGUAACAAUUGGGGGGGCCACCGUGGGCUGUCGCUGACCCUUUGAAAGGGGGGUCGUGCACGCCCCCCAUAGUGUCAUCCUCAUACAAUCCAACUCACCUCUGUGCAUCACCGCGUGGGUUCCUUUCUGGGUCGAGUCAGACUGGCUCAGAAAAAAGGGGCUUGCGUUUUCCAUACAAAUACCCUUAUAAAUCC
rnacentral:misc_RNA from 1 species